UACGAAGGGUGCAAACGUUGCUCGGAAUUAUUGGGCGUAAAGCGCACGUAGGCGGCUUUGCAAGUCGGAUGUGAAAUCCCUCGGCUUAACCAAGGAAGUGCAUCCGAAACUGCAGAGCUUGAGUACUUAAGAGGAUCGCGGAAUUCCCGGUGUAGAGGUGAAAUUCGUAGAUAUCGGGAGGAACACCAGUGGCGAAGGCGGCUCACUGGACUGGUAUUGACGCUGAGGUGCGAAAGCGUGGGGAGCAAACAGG
rnacentral:rRNA from 1 species